rnacentral:lncRNA from 1 species
GUGUAGGCUUUGCGGUACUCAUGUGCAUUCUUAAAUAGAUUAAGCCAAUAAAAUCCACAUUGGAGAACUUUUGCGAUAGUUUUUUUAGAUCCAAAUGGCCACCACAGGCUUGGUUGUGACAAAAGGAUAUGAUACUUUUGAUCUCAUAAUCCGGGGCACAUCUUCUAAUGAUUUGGUCAGGAUAUUGUUUAAUAGAUAUGGAUCAUCCCAAAUAAAAUAUUUUACUUAAG